rfam:Hordeum vulgare subsp. vulgare, WGS project CAJW01000000 data, contig: morex_contig_50199
UUGGUGCUCCCUCCGUCCUAAAUUUUUUGUCUUAAAUUUGUUUAGAUAUGAAUGUAUCUAGUUAAGUUUUAGUAUUUAGAUACAUUAAUUUCUAGAUAAAGCUAAGACAAGAAUUUUAGGACUGUGUGUGUAUUAU